GAGAAUGUCAUCAUAAUUUAUUUUAAGGAGUAAAGGUGAAUGAUAAAUACGCUGGACCUGUCUGGACACUUUUAGGUCCUGACAGUGAAUAGAGGGCAGAGCCUGAGCAACCUGGAAUCAAACCUCCUGGGUUUGAAUGCUGAUGUCCUGUCACACUGAGUCACCCUCCUUGCCUGUCAGUGACCCCAACAGCACAUCUCCCUAAAUGAUGGCAUGCCAGGCUGGUGAACACUAACCUCCAAGAGAGAAGUCACCUGUCACUGGGCUCUCAGACAGCUUGCCUUAACCCACAGACUUCUAAGGCAGAGAAUGCUAUUAUGGGAACCUGGAAGGACAUUACUAUCAGAGCAGCAGACAGAGAUCUAAAUAGAAACAUCUUUCCAACACUCACACCAGAUUUUGGAAGUGAAGCGACUAAGAUGUCCGCAAAGUGAAGAGGAACCUGGCUCACACUGUGUCCCCAGCAUCUCAGGUGAUUCAGGCAGCACUGUGCUCCAGCACUCAGGAUGAUGCAGCAGGACAGUAACUACAACACCUACCUGAAGAAAAGUUUGAAGCGGGAGCUUUAGCCAGAGACUCACUGGCUAUUAUUAGCGGCAGAAUCCGUGAUUUCACGGCAGUGACAGCAGCACAGGAGGGAAGAGCCUUGCUCUCAGGCCCCAGGACUCAGCGCCCGGACCAGACUGAGCCUCCAGACUCCUCCGCGUCUCCUGCCUGGAUGGCCUUUCCUUCCUUAGUCUUACCAGAACGCCCGAGUUUUCAUCUGGGUCAGGGUCUCUUUUAAGGUGUGGGUUCACGACUGAAUAUAAUUUAUAAAAAAGAGGGUGGGGGCAGGGCAUAUCAGCUACUUUUCUCUUUGCUGUUGACAAGAAGCAAUUUAGGGAAAAGGAGUUUAUUGUUGGCUCGUGGGUCAAAAAAUAAAGUUAAAUAAGAAAGUUC
rnacentral:lncRNA from 1 species